CUUGAAUAUCAAAAAUCAUUUUUUUCCAAGUUGAGAAACUAGAGAAUUUUUAUCUGAAAUGUCAUAAUUUGUGUGAAAAUGUAUCCCUCUGUGUGGUCAAAGUAACAAAUGAAGCAAUUUCUUCCUGUGUGCAAAGAAGAGGAAAACAUGUAAAAAAAAAUAAUAAAAUUAUAUAGAUAACAUAUUGGAAAAAAUUAGCUACAUUAAAAAAAAUGGGGACUGAUUUUUG